rnacentral:misc_RNA from 1 species
AAAAUAAUGUGUAAAGUUCAGGUGCCAAAAUAUGCUCUUGGCCAAUAUUAUAUAUAUACACAGCACACAGCAUAAUUUCCCUUCGAUUUCUCGUCUGUUGCUUCCCAAAUUCUUGUCAACUAACUUAACUGCCUCCUAUCUUGUGCCACAUGAGAAAUGCCCUUAAAACCCUAUUAUCGAUAAACCCAGCAACGCAUUUCAAUGCUUAUGCAGAAACCUGUGUUCCUCUCUUGAAACAAUGUUUGAUCACUGAAGGGAGUGCCCUUCAUGGCCAUUUUAUCAAAAUGGGUAUAUCAUCAGAGAGAUACGUAGCAAUUAAGCUCUUGAUAAUGUACCUCAAUUGUCGGAAAUGGGCUGAUGCUAAUGAGAUUUCAAAAGAGUUUAAUGGGUUUGAUCUCGUUGUGCAUAAUUGUAUGAUAUCUGCUAAUGUACAAUGGGGAAAUCUCGAUGAAGCUCGUAAGAUGUUCGAUGAAAUGCCAGAGAGAAACGAUGUUUCCUGGACCGCGCUGAUUUCGGGUUUUAUGAAAUAUGGAAGAGUGAAAGAAUCAAUGUGGUACUUUGAAAGAAACCCAUUUCAGAAUGUGGUAUCUUGGACCGCAGCUAUCAGUGGGUACGUGCAAAAUGGGUUUAGUGUUGAAGCUGUGAAGCUAUUUUUCAAACUUCUUGAAUCUGGGGUCAAGGCAAAUGAUGUUACUUUUACCUCUGUGGUUAGAGCUUGUGCAGGUUUGGGUGAUUUUGGAUUGGGAAUGAGUGUUUUGGGCUUAAUUAUUAAAACUGGAUUUGAACAUUAUAGAGCAGUUUCUAAUUCGUUGAUUACAUUAUGCUUGAGGAUGGGUGAAAUAAAUUUGGCUAGAGGGGUAUUUGAUAGGAUGAAGAAGAGAGAUGUUGUUUCAUGGACAGCAAUACUAGACACGUACGUGGAGAUGGGUGACAUGGGAGAAGCAAGAAGAAUCUUUGAUGAAAUGCCUGAAAGAAAUGAGGUUUCUUGGAGUGCAAUGAUUGCAAGGUACAGUCAGAGUGGCUGUCCUGAAGAAUCGCUGAAACUCUUUCACCAAAUGAUUCAAGAAGGAUUCAAGCCAAAUAGUUCUUGUUUCUCUAGUGUUCUAAGCGCAUUGGCUAGCAUUGAAGCAUUGCAAGCAGGAAUGAACAUCCAUGGACACGUUACAAAAAUUGGGAUUGAAAAAGGUGUUUAUGUUGCUAGCUCUCUGAUUGACUUGUACUGUAAAUGUGGAGAAAUUAUGGAUGGACGCUUAGUAUUUGAUUCAAUUUUGGAUAAAAAUGUGGUUUCAUGGAAUAUAAUGAUCGGAGGGUAUAGUAUGAGUGGCCAAAUGGAAGAAGCUGAGAAUUUGUUCAAUAUCAUGCCUGUGCGUAAUAAUGUCUCUUGGAGUGCUAUAAUUGCUGGUUAUUUAGAUUGUCAACAGUUUGAUAAGGUGUUUGAAGUCUUCAAUGAAAUGCUUUUGUUAGGAUAUAUUCCAAAUAAAUCCACCUUCUCUAGCUUGCUUUGUGCUUGUGCAAGCACGGCAUCUUUAGGGAAGGGUAAGGACCUACAUGGGAAGAUAAUUAAACUUGGGAUUCAAUCUGAUGUUUUUGUAGGCACUGCUCUUACUGAUAUGUAUGCAAAAUCUGGGGAUAUUGAGAGCUCUAGGAAUGUUUUUGAUAGAAUGUCUGUGAAGAAUGAAGUUUCUUGGACAGCGAUGAUUCAAGGGCUUGCAGAAAGUGGUUUUGCUGAGGAAUCUCUUAAUUUGUUUGAAGAAAUGGAAAAAAGUUCAUCUAUUGUCCCUAACGAGUUCAUGCUCUUGUCAGUUCUGUUUGCUUGUUCUCACUCCGGAUUAGUUGAUCAAGGACUGAGGUAUUUUAAUUCUAUGGAGGCCGUUUAUGGACUAAAGCCUCAGGGAAAACACUACACCUGCAUUGUUGAUAUGCUCUCUCGAGCAGGACGGCUCUUAGAAGCUGAAGAGUUCAUAAACUCCAUGGCAUUUCAACCUGAAACUAAUGCUUGGGCAGCUUUAUUAAGUGGCUGUAAGACUUAUAAAAAUGAGGAAUUAGCUGAGAGAACAGCUAGGAAGCUUUGUGAAAUGGCAGAGAAAAACUCUACAGGUUAUGUUUUGCUGUCAAAUAUCUAUGCUUCAGCUGGAAGAUGGAAGGAUGUUUUGAAUGUUAGGAAAUUAAUGAAGGAAAAGGGAUUGAAGAAGAGCGUUGGUUGUUGUUGGGUUGAAAUUAGAGAUCAAGUCCAUUGUUUUUAUUCAGAAGAUGGAACUCACUCCCAAUCAGCUGAGAUUUAUGGGAUUUUAGAGCUCUUAAGGGAUGAAAUGCUCUAAUCUUCAGAAUAUAGUCCACUUCCAAAGUUGGAUUCUUAAACCCAAUUGUACAAUAUUCUAAGCACCUGAAAAUCAUAGUAUGGAGACUGAGUAGGAGCAAGUUUUAUGCUCCUUGCCUAAUUGUUGUAAAAAAUAAUGAACCCUAACUGUGAGCUGAAAGGUAAUUUUGUUGCCAAAACAGAGAAUCCAUAAAGAAUCCAUGCUGAACAGGGAGAAGGGAGAAAAACAACCAACGAAACUAACAGAUUUUUCAUUUAAAAAAACUCUGGUUUAUAGGGACCAAGUAGCACUUGCUUUCUACACAUAAAAUGUAGCUCCUAUUGCUAUCUAUGGUGAUUCAUCAGUCACCAAUGAUGGAUCUGUGUACAUUUCAUCUUCAUGGCUGAUGGAAUAGAAGGACUG